CUCCCGCCCACCUCCAGCAACAACUUCACCACACCCGGGGAUCUGGCCGAGGGACUUCGCCGACAGCAAAAAAGUUAACGCCUAUGGGAUGGGCGAUGUUUCCUUGCAAUUUUCAGUUUCCAAAUGCAAACCAGAUGUAAUCUGCGCAAAGACACCAGACAAAGUUCAUGACCAAAGGCUUCAGUGUCAUCAUAAUUAUUGGGGCCAACUCAGCUCAGUUGAUCAAAUGGACCUUUAAUAAACCAGUUUCCAACACAGCCUCUCUCUCAAAGUACAACUACUGAAGCAAGCUAAAUACUUGUAGUAUCCCAUCCUUCUGUCAGAGCUAAGAAACUUUCAAAUAUGACAACAAGCAAUAAGGUGCAGCAUCUGGACUGGUUUCCUAGGAGUAAACAUCACCAAUAGCCUGUCUUGGUCCAACCACGUAGACACCAUGGCCAAGAAAGUGAACCAGCGCCUGUAUGGCAACUGCUCCGCUCAAGAUCACAAGAAAUUGCAGAGUCGUGGGCACAGCUCAGCACAUCAUGGAAACCAGCCCCCCUCCCCCCCCAUGGGCUGUCUACACUUUUCACUGCCUCAGUAAAGCAGCCAGCAUAAUCAACGACCCCACCCACCCCAGACGUUCUCUCUUCUUGGGCAGAAGAUACAAAAGCCUGAAAGCACAUACCACCAGGCUCAAGGACAGCUUCUAUUCCACUGUUAUAAGACUAUUGAACCAACCUCUUGUAUGAUAAGACCUCACAAUCUAACUGGUCACGGCCUUACCCCUAAUUAUCUACCUGCACUGCAGUUUCUCUGUAACUGUAACCCUAUUCUGCAUCCUG